rnacentral:misc_RNA from 1 species
AAUUAACUACUUAGUCCCUCUAUUGUGAAAAAUACACUAGUUAGGCCCCCUAUUUUUAGUCAAUGAAUUAUUUAGCCCCUCCCAUUAACUUUUUUGUUAGUCAAGUUAAUCAAAAGAAAAAGAAUACUUACAACAGGAGCUAAAUAACCGAUAGAUUUAAAAUUACGGGACUAAAUAAUUGUAUUAUUCAAAUUGCAAGGACUAUAUAAUUGAGUUGGGAAAAAAUUGAUUUAAAAUAAUGGGGAGGGACUAAAAAGUUCGCAAACUAAAAAAUAA